rnacentral:rRNA from 1 species
CCUACGGGAGGCAGCAGUGAGGAAUAUUGGUCAAUGGCCGGAAGGCUGAACCAGCCAUGCCGCGUGAAGGUCAGUGCCCUAUGGGCGUUAAACUUCUUUUGUGCGGGAGCAAUAAUGGUCACGUGUGGCCCGACGAGAGUACCGUACGAAUAAGCAUCGGCUAACUCCGUGCCAGCAGCCGCGGUAAUACGGGGGAUGCAAGCGUUAUCCGGAUUUAUUGGGUUUAAAGGGUGCGUAGGCUGUGAGGUAAGUCAGCGGUGAAAUGCCCCCGCUCAACGGGGUGAAGUGCCAUUGAUACUGCCUUGCUGGAAUGCGGAUGCCGUGGGAGGAAUGUGUGGUGUAGCGGUGAAAUGCAUAGAUAUCACACAGAACCCCGAUUGCGAAGGCAGCCUGCCAAGCCGCGACUGACGCUGAUGCACGAAAGCGUGGGUAUCAAACAGGAUUAGAUACCCGAGUAGUC